UUUUGUACCCCUCAAAUACUAAAAUUGGAAUGAUACAGAAGAUUAGCAUGGCUCCUGCACAAGGAUGACAUGCAAAUUCAUGAAACAUUGCAAAAAAUUUUU